rnacentral:rRNA from 1 species
UUGGAGGGCAAGUCUGGUGCCAGCAGCCGCGGUAAUUCCAGCUCCAAUAGCGUAUAUUAAAGUUGUUGCAGUUAAAAAGCUCGUAGUUGAAUUUCGGGAUCAAUGUUUCGGUCAUGCCGUUGGUAUGUACUGAUAUUAUUGAUUUCUCACCUUCUAAAGAACCGUAAUGCCAUUAAUUUGGUGUCACGGGGAAUUAGGACUGUUACCUUGAAAAAAUUAGAGUGUUUAAAGCAGGCUCACGCUUGAAUACAUUAGCAUGGAAUAAUGAAAUAGGACAUCCGAUUCUAUUUUGUUGGUUUCUAGGAUCGAUGUAAUGAUUAAUAGGGAUAGUUGGGGGCAUUAGUAUUCAAUUGUCAGGGGUGAAAUUCUUGGAUUUAUUGAAGACUAACUACUGCGAAAGCAUUUGCCAAGGAUGUUUUCAUUAAUCAAGAACGAAAGUUAGGGGAUCGAAGACGAUCAGAUACCGUCGUAGCCUUAACCAUAAACUAUGCCGACUAGGGAUCGGAUGAUGUUAAUUUUUUAAUGACUCAUUCGGCGCCUUACGGGAAACCAAAGUGUUUGGGUUC